GUGGGGAAUAUUGGACAAUGGGCGAAAGCCUGAUCCAGCCAUGCCGCGUGUGUGAAGAAGGUCUUCGGAUUGUAAAGCACUUUAAGUUGGGAGGAAGGGUAGUAACCUAAUACGUUGCUACUUUGACGUUACCGACAGAAUAAGCACCGGCUAACUUCGUGCCAGCAGCCGCGGUAAUACGAAGGGUGCAAGCGUUAAUCGGAAUUACUGGGCGUAAAGCGCGCGUAGGUGGUUCAGUAAGUUGGAAGUGAAAUCCCCGGGCUCAAACUGGGAACUGCUUUCAAAACUGCUGAGCUAGAGUACGGUAGAGGGUGGUGGAAUUUCCUGUGUAGCGGUGAAAUGCGUAGAUAUAGGAAGGAACACCAGUGGCGAAGGCGACCACCUGGACUGAUACUGACACUGAGGUGCGAAAGCGUGGGGAGCAAACAGGAUUAGAUACCCGUGUAGUCC
rnacentral:rRNA from 1 species